CGCAUCUGUGCAUGCAGCAUAUCAAUAAGCGGAGGAAAAGGCUGCGGAACUGAACGACCGCUACCUACGCUUAGGAUGUUGACGCGCGUGUGUGCGUGAUCUAUACAUGACACUGCGCAUAUCAAUAAGCGGAGGAAAAGAGGGCUUUUACCUACGCUUAGGAUGUUGAAGCCAUCGCAUCUGUGCAUGCAGCAUAUCAAUAAGCGGAGGAAAAGAAACUAACAAGGAUUCCCUUAGUAACGGCGAGUGAAGCGGGAAGAGCUCAAAUCUGAAAUCUUCAAGGUUUUACCUUGACGAAUUGUAGUUUAAAGAAGUGUUUUCUGUUGAAGUUUUGGUAAAAGUUCUUUGGAAUAGGACAUCAUAGAGGGUGAGAAUCCCGUAUUUGACCAUUAUUUUCAGCUGUGUGAUACACUUUCAAAGAGUCGGAUUGUUUGGGAAUGCAGUCCAAAAUGGGUGGUAAAUUUCAUCUAAAGCUAAAUAUUGGCGAGAGACCGAUAGCGAACAAGUACCGUGAGGGAAAGAUGAAAAGAACUUUGAAAAGAGAGUUAAACAGUACGUGAAAUUGUCAAAAGGGAAGCGUUUGACACCAGUGUUGUUUUCUCGAAAAUCAAUUAAAAAGAGUUAGAUUUUGUUGUGUAUUGACCUUAACAGCUUGCAUUUCAAUUUUCUUGCUUUUUUUAAUGCACUUUUCGUUUAACAAGUCAACAUCAGUUUCUUUUGUUGUAAAAAGGUCAUUGGAAGGUGGCUUUCUUUUCGGAGAAAGUGUUUAUAGCCUUUGACUCCUGCAAUCGGAGAGACUGAGGUCUGCAGCGUAGAUCCUUCGGGGUUAGAUACAUUUGUGCUAAGUUAUAGCUUUUUAUAGACAACUUGUUGACUAUGAUUAGUCUUGUAGCUUACUCGCUUAUGCUAUUUUACCUACGCUUAGGAUGUUGACGCGCGUGUGUGCGUG
rnacentral:rRNA from 1 species